CAGCAGUAGCCGCGGUAAUACGAAGGGGGCUAGCGUUGUUCGGAUUUACUGGGCGUAAAGCGCACGUAGGCGGAUCCUUAAGUCAGAGGUGAAAUCCCAAGGCUCAACCUUGGAACUGCCUUUGAUACUGGGGAUCUCGAGUUCGGGAGAGGUGAGUGGAACUGCGAGUGUAGAGGUGAAAUUCGUAGAUAUUCGCAAGAACACCAGUGGCGAAGGCGGCUCACUGGCUCAUUCUAGACGCUGAGGUGCGAAAGCGUGGGGAGCAAACAGGAUUAGAUACCCCUGUAGUCCCUGUCUCUUAUAC
rnacentral:rRNA from 1 species